AUUGAACGCUGGCGGCAUGCCUUACACAUGCAAGUCGAACGGCAGCACGGGAGCAAUCCUGGUGGCGAGUGGCGAACGGGUGAGUAAUAUAUCGGAACGUGCCCAGUCGUGGGGGAUAACGCAGCGAAAGCUGUGCUAAUACCGCAUACGAGCUAGGGAUGAAAGCGGGGGAUCGGAAGACCUCGCGCGAUUGGAGCGGCCGAUAUCAGAUGAGCUAGUUGGUGGGGUAAAGGCCCACCAAGGCGACGAUCUGUAGCUGGUCUGAGAGGACGACCAGCCACACUGGAACUGAGACACGGUCCAGACUCCUACGGGAGGCAGCAGUGGGGAAUUUUGGGCAAUGGGCGCAAGCCUGAUCCAGCAAUGCCGCGUGCAGGAUGAAGGCCUUCGGGUUGUAAACUGCUUUUGUACGGAACGAAACGGCCCUUUCUAAUACAGGGGGCUAAUGACGGUACCGUAAGAAUAAGCACCGGCUAACUACGUGCCAGCAGCCGCGGUAA
rnacentral:rRNA from 1 species